AUCCAACUGAAGAGUCCCAAAUAGGACGAAACGCGCAUCCUGGAU
rnacentral:hammerhead_ribozyme from 1 species